UUUUGGGCAAUGGGCGAAAGCCUGACCCAGCAACGCCGCGUGAAGGAUGAAGUAUUUCGGUAUGUAAACUUCGAAAGAAUGGGAAGAAUAAAUGACGGUACCAUUUAUAAGCUCCGGCUAACUACGUGCCAGCAGCCGCGGUAAUACGUAGGGAGCAAGCGUUGUUCGGAUUUACUGGGCGUAAAGGGCGCGUAGGCGGCGCGGUAAGUCACUUGUGAAAUCUCUGAGCUUAACUCAGAACGGCCAAGUGAUACUGCAGUGCUAGAGUGUAGAAGGGGCAAUCGGAAUUCUUGGUGUAGCGGUGAAAUGCGUAGAUAUCAAGAGGAACACCUGAGGUGAAGACGGGUUGCUGGUCUAACACUGACGCUGAGGCGCGAAAGCCAGGGGAGCAAACGG
rnacentral:rRNA from 1 species